CAUGCAGGCGGUGCGCCAAGUCGGGGGUGUAAAGUUACGGCUCAACCGUGACCUUGCAAUCGAAACUGGCGCACUGGAGUGCGGGAGAGGGAAGUGGAAUUCCCGGUGUAGCGGUGAAAUGCGUAGAUAUCGGGAGGAACGCCAGUGGCGAAGGCGGCUUCCUGGCCCGCGACUGACGCUCAUGUGCGAAAGCCAGGGGAGCGAACCG
rnacentral:rRNA from 1 species